UUGGUUUAAUGAGAUUAUCUUUUGAGAGUUGGUCAUACAGGUAUCACUAAUCAUAAUUGCUCUUAACUUCAAAUAUAUACACGAUUAUGUGUAUUCUAAAUAUCAAAUAAAACAAUGAUGAUUUCUUUACAAUAGCAGUACAACAAAUUUAUUCGCAAUAUUUUCCUUUGAUCAGUUGAUCAAAAACCUGAUUAUAUUUACAAUAUAUUCUAGGUCUUUGCUCUUUAUUCCAUUGGUUCAAAAUAUGAUAAAAGAGGCUUAUCAAAAAGUUUAUAUCAUGUAGUCUUAUAUAACAAAUAGAACAAUGGCAUACAAGAUGUUUCAAAUCAUAAUCUAUUUGCAUUAUUUAUUUCAAUAAUUUGACCUGUGAUAUUCAUGUAUAAAGCAAAAUAGUAAACAUUGAAUUUCAUUCACUUUUAUGUAUAAUAUAGUAUUAAACCGGUUAAUUAUUGUAUACAACAUUUAUUUAAUUUCAUAGCAACAUUUUAUACUAUUGUAUUCAUUGUAGUUUUUUGUCAUUAUUAGCCCAGUCCGUGCAUAGCAUUAUGAUGUGAAAUCCCAUUUCAUUUCAAUUAUAAUAGUCUUCAUCUAGAAACAAUAUUACUAUUUAUAUUGGUAUGUUACUACCAAGAUAUAACAAUAAAAUUAGCAAAAGUAUGUAUAAAUUAAUAAAGUUCUCUUUAGUAUCUUUCAUGAAUAGUCAAUUGUUCAAUACCAUUAUUUCUCUUCACCUCAUGCAAAUAAAUUGAAAUGGGAUUUAAUGUUCAACUGUUUUACUUCACAACUUACAUAAAUCAUUUGGUGAUAAAGAAACAUACAUUUUUAGUAUUUUUUUAACAUAGUGUACUAUACUAUGCAUCAUUAUAUAGAAGACAUAUGAAUGAAUAAACAAAAAUAUGGCAAAAUGAACAACAUGAGAAUGAUUGUAGAAGUAUAAGAACAAAGCAAUUGUUUAAUAUUAAAAAUAUUUGAUUUUCUUCUAUUUUAAAGUUACAUCCUUUACAUUUGUAUUUAUACAUUGUAUGCAAAACAUAAUUAGAGAGAAAUGGGUUUAACGUCCACUCAACACAAACAAGGUCAUUUCGGGACUAACAUAUGGUUUAAUUUUAUUUCAAUAAUUUGCUUGCGCGUAGGGGUCUUUAGCAGUGGGGGGAAACCAGAGUACCCGGAGAAAAUCAGGAGUAUGGACAGGUGACCCUACUCCUUGCCACGUACAACCAGGGAUUCGAGACCACGCCAGUUGACUUAAUGGCAGGCCGUAUGAUACAGCAUGCACACACUAACCAUUCGGCCAUCCAACCCAAUACAGCAAGGAUGAACAAAUAUUAGCAUGUUUUAAUGUUCAUUAUUAAAAUAGAAUACAAACAAUGUAAGAAUAAUUAUAAUAUCAUGUAUCAAACCAAAACAAAUAAUUCAAUUUCAAUAACUAUUGAGAGCUGGCUGAAAAAUUCUAAACCCAUCUGUGAAAGAACUGUAUAGAAUUGUAUAAAGUCCAUUGUUUCCAUUUAUUUUUCUAUGUAGUCACUUUUGAAGUGUACACUCUCACUCUUUAGUUAAUGAUGUUGCAUGGCCUUGAUGUCUGCCAGGAAGAAAUUAUCUUCAGUUACCCUUAAAAAAUUGAUCACAGCUGACAUGAUAUCACCCAUUUAUGAACAGAAGUAUUGUCUGAAUAGAACACCUUUAUAAUACUUCUAUUGAUAGUCUGGCUGUUUUUAAGGUAGUCAAUCAGCAGAAUAGUUUAGGAAUCAUAAACGAGUGAACCCAUCACCUGUCCAGUCGAAAGAACUGACCUGGCUUGAUUGGGGACUUGCGAGUCUGGAUGCUUCCAUUGUUUUUAUUGAAUUUUGCAUUCUGGUUGAAACUGAUGAAUCCAGGUCUCCUCUAUGUUUAAAAAUCUGGCUAAAAUGUUUUUUAGGAAAUAUUGAAAACAGCAAAGAUUGUCACUGGGUGUCACUGGAUCAAGUACCUCCUGCAACCACUUCUUUAGUGCAGAAAAGGAAGGGCCAUUGUCUCCUAUAGUGGAGACCGUAUCCACAUAUUUCAAUGUUUGGGUUAGGACUUUCAGUUGCAGAUACUUGAUGACUGCCAUAUAGAUAGUUCUGUCCAUUUUUGGUGAUUUCAAUGGGUAGGUUCACAAGAUUGUCUGGUACAAAUACAAUAAUAACACUUCAGCUGCAGGUCUUAUGUCUAUGAUUCAUUCAAUGAUUCUACUUGUGGUGGUAAAAGCCAAUUAAAUCUCUCCUCUUCAGAUCUAGAACUUUUCAGCCAGCUGUUGUAUUAUAGUGUAUCCACACAAAGAAAAAUUAACACAGAGAAAAAUCAUUAUUACAUAAUAAAUAUAUAAAAUGACAAUAAAUGAUGUGGUAUUCAUAUUUCAAUCAGAAGACGGAGAAAAAUGGGGUUUAAGUCCACUCGACAGAAACUAGGUAUUUUGGCAUUAACACAUGGUCCAAUUUUAUUUCAAUAAUUUGCUUGUGCGUAUGGGUCAUUAGCAAUGGAAGGAAACUGGAGUUCGCAGAGAAAACCCUCGAAGGAUGAACGUGCUACCCUACUCCUUGCCACGUACAACUGGGGAUUUGAAACCACACCAGUUCACUAAAUGGCAGACCUUAUGAUACAGCGCGCACAUACUAACCAUUCACCCCCCCCCCCUUAUUUCAAACAACAAAAUUAAAUGUAUUGAUACAAAUAUAUAUCUAUGAAUACAAAUAUAUCUGUACAAAUGUAUAUAGAUAGAAUAAUCGUAUAGAUAAAGAAAAAUUAAAAUCCCCGGCUACAAUCCAACCAGGGAAUAGCGGGAGUGUAGACGAUCUGGGACCUAGCUCUCCAAACAAAUUACGCUCCUGAAGCAAAAAGACAGAGUAAAUCGGUGCUGCCUGUUGUGUGUAUUAUAUGUAAAAAACGUGACAGAUUUGUCACUGUUGGAGAAAAUAGGAAGAAGGGUGUAUUAACACAGACUCAGACCCAAACAGGCUCAGGCCAACUGUUGAAAGCUGCUGAAUUGAAAGAGGAUGAAGAUAUUUUAAGGCAUAUCAGAGGGCAAGAUUGUGUGGCCAUUGAGGUCAGAUAUCACCAAAAAUGUUAUAGGCAAUAUACAUGUACUGAAUUUCUUAGACAGUUAUCAGAAAGCAAAGAUGACUAGCCCUCCGUCGAAUAUUAAACCACAUACAAUAUAUUCUGUGAAGAUGUCAUAAGAGAAAGAAUCAUAAAUGGCCAGCAAAGUUGUCUUGUACAGAGAGAGAGAGAGAAAUGGGGUUUAACGUCCACUCAACACAAACUAGGUCAUUUUGGGACUAACAUACGGUUUCAAUUUUAUUUCAAUAAUUCGCUUGCGCGUAUGGGUCUUUAGCAGUGAGAGGAAACCGGAGUGCCCGGAGGAAACCCACGAGGUUGAGAAGACGCCUCUAUCUCCAUACCACAUACGCUCACACCUGGGAUCAAAGCCACAGCCACAAGCCAGAGGUGACCGACCAGCUAGAGGUCGAAGCGCGGCACUCUAGGCCAUCCCAACCCCCCUUUCUUGUACAGACCUGUGCAUGUGUAGUCAAUGUGAAAAUGAAAAAAAAACUGUUAAAGAGACCGAAUUUGAUGUUAAUACAUUUAGUGACAGUGAUGAUGAUAAUGAAGAUUAACUUUGAUGACAUUUGAUGUGCAGAGUAACUGUUUAAUUUUGAUUUUCAAUGAUUGUUUCACUUUAAUAAAUAAUUUCACAACUGUUCAUCCUGUUUUCUAACCUUUCCCUUCAUUCCAGCCCAGAUACACAAUUAUUUUUUUUAACUUAUAUCUACAAGUAUGUUUGUAAUUUGACCAUUAAUCAUAUCCGAAAUAGUAGUUCACAGCUACAUGUACAGUUGUAAAAAUACUGUAGUGGCUAAUUGAAAGGGAACAUGUAUGUGGGUUUAGAAUGUUUAUCUUAGUGGAAAAAAAUCAUGUGGUUCAAUGCUUAUAAAGUGCUACUGAUCUCCAUUAUUUCAAAAGCAUAUCACUCAACUACUGUCAAACAUAUCCCCUGGCUAGAAUAUGCUACAAAUCGACUCUAGCAUGUUCCAUACAAGCGAUAAUUUCUGAGCAAACAUCCAACAACCAACCCUAACAGGCCCUUGAGAUCCAACAAACAAAAUAAUUAUUGGGCUUGUUUGCCCACACCUGGUCUUAUGAUUCAUACAAGACCUGAUAGUCUAUCAAUUACAGGCAUUUGACAGAAAGGGAGAUAAUUCUUUUUUACCGUUAAUGGAUUUCCACAAUUCUUUAUUCACCCAUGACAUUUGUGUUUUGAGCAUUUUUAUUUACAUCAAAAUCUGUCCAAUAAACUGUUCAUUGCCAAGGAUGAAGGCAUGAGGUGUUUUACCAACUAUUUAAUUUUAUGUCAACUUCAGAAUUGUUAGUACACAAAUAGCAUUUAUUUGACAAUUUUGACGAAUUUCAUCUGGCCCUAAAUCAAUAAAUUGCAAACAUUUUGUUUGGAACUCCCAUAUUUUGUCUUCCUGGCAUCAUAAGCUUUCCAAAAAUGUAUAGUUUUUCUUUUAUGGAAGACCGUGUAGCGGAGUUGUGUUUCUAAGCUAGCUAGAAAUUUUGGCUGCAGGCCUACACCUCCCAAGCUAAAUUUCCCUCAUGUCAUCCUGUAUAGCAAAGGCAUAUGCCUGUCUUAAUUAACCCAGUACUAAACACAAUUUACUUGUUUAAUUUUUCCAGCAUUUUUCAGGAUAGCUGAUGGGAUGCGGGUCAAGUUAUGCCACUUGUCUAUUUAAUUAUUUACCAGUGAAA